UAGGCAGGACCGUCGGUCUACCGAGCAAUAUCACCCGCUCGGUGGAAGAUUUUUCUUUUCGUCGU
rnacentral:pre_miRNA from 1 species